rnacentral:lncRNA from 1 species
AGCAUUGCCAGGCAGUCCUGGCAAUGAUCAGGAGGCUAUGCCUGGAAUGUCCUCUGAGCAGAUGCUGGGAGUAACACUCAUGUUAUGGGGAACAGGAGAAAGGAACGGGUCACUCAUGCUGUCCCAAACUUGCCUGGCAGCACAGCCAACGAUGAGCUUCUGGGUAAUCAAUCAAAGGUGAUAAUACAAAUCGGUGACCUUUACGUGUUUGUUUCAAGGCUCAGGAAAAAUAAGAAAGGAAGGGGAGAAGAUACGGAGGGAAGUAUACCUUCACGAGACUUCCUUUUUCAUGAGGCACUGACAAGUUCUGUACUUCUCCCAUAACUAUACUGUGGACUUCUGUAGUAGUACUUGAGUGAUCCUGUGACACCUCAGAGCCCAAGGGUAGGACAGUGCCUUUAAAACACAGUGCAGAGAAGCCCAGAAAGCUCUCUUGAAAAGUGAAGACAUCGUUUGCCACAAGGAGAUAAUAUCCAGCCACACAGCCCUUUCUUUCUUGUAAUAUUAUCAUGCCUUGUUUGCCUUAAUCUUAUGCUAAGGAAAAAAAAAGGGGGGGCCAAUCAUAAGUGAGGCUGAGCCCAAAUGCAAAAUAUCUCGUCUCAAUGAGAAAUAUUACACACAAAGAAAAUAUUUCAUUGUUCUUAGAAAUGCUUCCAGGUAAUGAUCUCUAGUGUUUGCUAGAAGGAAAAUGAUAAAUUCUGGUUGUAUCCUUUGGCUUUACAUGUGGCCCACAUAUAAAAGUCAAAUAAAUUCAUUAUGUUUGCAACAAGGACAAAAGAAAACAAACAAACAAACAAACAAAACCAAUCAGUGAAUGGUGGCAGCACUACCUUUCUGCUAAUUUGAAUUGGUUUUUGGAUUUGAAACUAAGAUACAGAGAAGUCAUAUUUGUGUUCAUUGCUUUUUUGUUAAUGACAAAAGAUUAAUGAAGCAGGGUACACAUAAGGCAGACACAAGAAAGCUGCCACAUCCUAGAACAACGAUGACAUGGCAGGGCAGGAAGAGACACACGACCACUGGCGG